AUUGAACGCUGGCGGCAGGCCUAACACAUGCAAGUCGAGCGGAUGAAGGGAGCUUGCUCCUGGAUUCAGCGGCGGACGGGUGAGUAAUGCCUAGGAAUCUGCCUGGUAGUGGGGGAUAACGUCCGGAAACGGGCGCUAAUACCACAUACGUCCUGAGGGAGAAAGUGGGGGAUCUUCGGACCUCACGCUAUCAGAUGAGCCUAGGUCGGAUUAGCUAGUUGGUGGGGUAAAGGCCUACCAAGGCGACGAUCCGUAACUGGUCUGAGAGGAUGAUCAGUCACACUGGAACGGAGACACGGUCCAGACUCCUACGGGAGGCAGCAGUGGGGAAUAUUGGACAAUGGGCGAAAGCCUGAUCCAGCCAUGCCGCGUGUGUGAAGAAGGUCUUCGGAUUGUAAAGCACUUUAAGUUGGGAGGAAGGGCAGUAAGUUAAUACCUUGCUGUUUUGACGGUACCAACAGAAUAAGCACCGGCUAACUUCGUG
rnacentral:rRNA from 1 species